ensembl:lncRNA LINC03004 long intergenic non-protein coding RNA 3004
AGGAGAUAUGUUAAUAUUCUUUUAAUAAAUGCCUUUUUUGUGUAGAAAUGCUUGUUUGGUUUCUGAUAGUUGUAACCUAAAAAAUCUUUAGUAAGCCAUUGGUCUGCUGUGGGGAGCGUCGAGAUGAAACUGGAACGUUGUUUGAACCUAGAUCAUAAAGUGACUCCAACAUCUUCAUACCAGGGAGAGGAGGAAGCUGUGCUGUGAAGGAUCCUUUUUCAUCAUGAUUAUUGCAUCCACAGAAGCAGUGAUAAAUUCUAACAGAUAAUGCAACUCAGUCUACUUGGAUGUUCACACCUGAGACUGGAGAAGACCUGCUGCCUUCUGCAGAGCCAAACAUUCCUCACAUGCUCCUCCACAAUGCUGUGAGCCAUAUUUAUUCAUUUAAAAGCUAGUACCUCGCU